UACAGAGGGUGCAAGCGUUGUUCGGAAUUAUUGGGCGUAAAGCGCGUGUAGGCGGCUUAGCAAGUCGGGCGUGAAAGCCCUCGGCUCAACCGAGGAAGUGCACCCGAAACUGCUGAGCUUGAGUGCCGGAGAGGAUGGCGGAAUUCCCCAAGUAGAGGUGAAAUUCGUAGAUAUGGGGAGGAACACCCGUGGCGAAGGCGGCUCUCUGGGACGGUACUGACGCUGAGACGCGAAAGCGUGGGGAGCGAACAGG
rnacentral:rRNA from 1 species